CCUACGGGAGGCAGCAGUGAGGAAUAUUGGUCAAUGGGCGCGCGCCUGAACCAGCCAAGUAGCGUGAAGGAUGACUGCCCUACGGGUUGUAAACUUCUUUUAUAAAGGAAUAAAGUGAGGCACGUGUGCCCUUUUGUAUGUACUUUAUGAAUAAGGCUCGGCUAACCCCGUGCCAGCAGCCGCGGUAAUACGGGGGAAUCGAGGGUUUUCCGGGUUUAUUGGGGUUAAAGGGGGCGUAGAGGGGUUGUUAAGUCAGUUGUGAAAGUUUGCGGCUCAAACGUAAAAUUGCAAUUGAUACUGGCAGUCUUGAGUGCAGUUGAGGUAGGCGGAAUUCGUGGUGUAGCGGUGAAAUGCUUAGAUAUCACGAAGAACUCCGAUUGCGAAGGCAGCUUACUAAACUGCAACUGACAUUGAUGCUCGAAAGUGUGGGUAUCAAACAGGAUUAGAUACCCCUGUAGUC
rnacentral:rRNA from 1 species